AUGUAUCCUGCGGUGUCGGGCCUGCUAGUAGUGGAUUGCCGUGAAGCCCGAAGGUUGUUUCUCCAGACCAACAACAAAAACAGUGCAAGCGUACUGCCGCGAAUGGAAGCGAAGAGUGGCUGACUGCCUUUCACUGAUAUCGUUUAAUACCCCGUUUUCGUGGAAGGGGCCCUGCGGCAGCGGCCGGUGUUGGAGGCCCAGUGCACCCUGCAGGCGUGGUCUGUCAGCAUGAACAGGAACAAGCGGGAGAAGGAGUACUACAGCAUCGAGGUGGGCGACUCCACCUUCACUGUGCUCAAACGCUACCAGAACCUCCGCCCCAUCGGAUCAGGAGCACAGGGCAUCGUCUGCUCGGCGUAUGACCACAACCUGGAGCGCAAUGUGGCCAUUAAGAAGCUGAGCCGGCCCUUCCAGAACCAGACCCACGCCAAGCGCGCCUUCCGAGAGCUCGUCCUCAUGAAGUGUGUCAACCACAAGAACAUCAUCGGCUUGUUAAACGUCUUUACACCUCAGAAGACACUUGAGGAAUUUCAGGAUGUGUACCUGGUGAUGGAGCUGAUGGAUGCUAACCUGUGUCAGGUGAUUCAGAUGGAGCUGGACCACGAGCGCCUGUCCUACCUGCUCUACCAGAUGCUGUGUGGAAUCAAACACCUGCACGCAGCAGGCAUCAUUCACAGGGAUCUGAAGCCCAGUAAUAUCGUGGUAAAGUCGGACUGUACGCUGAAGAUUCUGGACUUCGGUCUGGCGCGGACGGCGGCCACCGGUCUGCUCAUGACUCCGUACGUGGUCACCCGCUACUACCGCGCCCCCGAGGUCAUCCUGGGCAUGGGCUACCAGGCCAACGUUGAUGUGUGGUCAAUCGGCUGCAUCAUGGCUGAGAUGGUCAGAGGUAGUGUGUUAUUCCCUGGCACUGACCAUAUUGACCAAUGGAAUAAGGUGAUUGAGCAGCUGGGCACGCCCUCUCAGGAGUUCAUGCUGAAGCUCAACCAAUCGGUGCGCACCUACGUGGAGAACCGCCCCCGCUACGCUGGCUACAGCUUUGAGAAGCUCUUCCCUGACGUGCUGUUCCCCGCCGACUCAGAACACAACAAACUGAAAGCGAGCCAGGCCAGGGACCUGCUGUCCAAGAUGCUGGUGAUCGAUGCCUCCAAGCGCAUAUCUGUGGACGAGGCCCUUCAGCACCCCUAUAUCAACGUGUGGUAUGACCCGUCCGAGGUGGAAGCGCCCCCCCCUGUGAUCACAGAGAAGCAACUGGAUGAGCGAGAGCACACAGUGGAUGAGUGGAAAGAUCUGAUCUAUAAGGAGGUGCUGGACUGGGAGGAGAGGACGAAAAAUGGAGUCAUCAGAGGACAGCCCCCCUCCCUAGGUGCAGCAGUGAUGGGGACCCCCCCCGCCGCGUCCCUCCUCCCCGAUGUCCUCUGACCCCGCCCCUCCCCUCGUCUCGGACACCCACAGCGCCAUGGCAACGGCUACGGCAACACUGGGCUGCUGCAGGUGACCUCGCCCACCGCUCUCUCAUCGGCUCUCGGGAGGGGGAGGGGCCUGCGGAGCUGAGGGCUUGUGAGAGCCAAUCAGAAGCCUCCUCCUGACACCUCACCUGCUCCACAUGAACUGUGUGUGUGUUUGUGUGUGUGUGUGUGUGUGUGUGUGUGUGUGUGUGUCACGGUGGAGCCUCUGACCACAUGCAAUAAUGUCCCUUCUGUGUAGUCCUGUAUUUUUAUAUUAGUAGUAUUUCAGCUGAGUGAAGGAGAAAGUGCCUGUAGACUGUCCAGAUAGAGUCCUGAGGGGGGGAGAGAUGACCGAGGAUGCUGGGAAAUGUAGUCCUGAGGAGGGGAGAGAUGACAGGAUGAUGGGAAAUGUAGUCCUGAGGAGGGGAGAUGACCGAGGAUAUUCUGUCAGGCAGACAGAAUAAUGAGUGAUGUAGUCUUGAGGGCAUUUUACUGAGAAUGAUGGGAGAUGUAGUCCUGUGUAGGUGGCACAGAGAAGUUCUGGUAAUGGGCACAAAAGUAAUGAUUGGAAAUGUAGUCCUGUGGAGAUGGCUGAGAGGAUGAUGGGAUAUGUAGUCCUGUGGUUCGUUAGUAUUGGGAGAGGAUGCUGGGAUGCGUAGUCUUGUGGUUCUUGGGUAUUAGCAGAGGAUUAUGGGAUAUGCAGUCCUGUGGGUCUUGGGUAUUGGCAGAGAAUGUUGGGAUAUGCAGUCCUGUGGCUCUAACUUGGCACUUGGUUUCCAUGGCAGCGGUGGGUGAGGCUGUGUUUUUGUAUCGUGAGCUCAGCGGGAGUCUGGGAAUGUUUGAUGGUCGCUCGAGCGUUUGCUCGUCAGGAGAAUUUGUAUAGAUAAUUGUGAGCUUUAUUUUUCGACAAGAAGGAUUUGUGAUGUAAGGUGACUGUUAUGCCGUCUCCGUGGUGAUGUAAGCUGACCGUUAUGAAGUCUCCGUAGUACAAAGUGUGUAAAGUUCAGCAGAAUACAGAGUAGGAUCGGGCCCCACAGUGGUGUUUGUGUGUGUGUGUUUGUGUGUGUGUGUGUGUGUGUGUGUGUGGAAGUGUUUCUUGGGUCAGUCCGACUCUCCCAGCCUCUGGCAUGAUGUUACAGAAGCAGUCCUGGCCACACACACGCAAGCGUGUGUGUGUGUGUGCGCGUGUGUGCGCGUAUGAGUGUGUUAGAGUGAGGCAAAGUGUCUGUGUUUGUGUGUGUGUGUGUGUGUGUGUGUAUAGUGAGGCAGAGUGUCCCAGAGAGUCUCAUGGUCUCUCGUCACAGUCAGGCACCAACCACGAGUAAAAAUAAACAAACAAACAAACAAAUAAAUAAACAAAUCCUGAACAACAGCUGAACUCCACCUUGUGAACGUGUGCUGCUGGUUUGUGAGGUCUGCUGAUGGCUGCAGCCCUGCGGGUGUGUGAGCGGCGCCCCCUGUGGUGGGGGAGGGGUGCUACUGGACCAGCCCUGACCGCUGCCCUGAGGGGCUUCACCAAACAUGGCCGCCAAUAAAACCUGCAGUUUGCACACACACA